CUUUGGGCACAUUUUCAACUGACUGCAAAUGAAUUUCCUCACGGGGACAAUAAAUUCAACCUAGAUACCAAAAGGUUUUCAUCUUUCAGAAGCAACUACAUUAUCUUACUUUAUCAUACUAUGUAAUUAUCCUGUGUGUAUCAUGCAAAUUGCUUGUGGUAACAAGUUAUCUAAUCCUAUAGCAUUGUAAUAUGAUUUUUUACUACAAAGUAAAUUAUCUUGUCUGUCAAAUGUUGGUAUCUUGUGAGAACACACUAUUGUUUUGAGCACACAUAUACUCGUAUUGUAAGAGCAAGGAUCUUGUGUGUGGAAUACAAUACACUGGAUAAUAGAAGUCGUUAUAUUCUGUGAACACGUCAUAUCUUGUGGGAGCAAGUUAUCUUUGUAAAAAUACAAUUAUCUUAUUGAAACAAGGUGUUCAUCUUGUGCACAAAAUAUUUGAUAUUGUGCAGACAAGUUAGUUAUCUUGUGAGCACGAUAUUAUGACCUUGCAGGAACAACUAACUAUCUUGUACACACGUUAUAAUAUAGAAUGUAAUAUGUAAUAUUAAAUCCUGUUUGAUUUGUUUAAAACUGUUAUUCAAACCUUUAUCAGGUAUAGAGAACAUCAACAAUCAGUUUUUGUUUGUGGUGUAGAUCUAAAGCACUUAGUUGUCAACAAAUUAACCUGUAUGAAAAUCACACUCAAAGUUUGAUGAAAUUUACAAAGACUAAAUUACCAUAAAUUUCGUAUUAUUUAAUCUUAUUUUACUUAAGUAUCCUGGAUUUUAUUUAAUUGCAAUUAAUCAAACCACAAAACACUCUCACAUUUGGAUAUCAUGUGCUGCUGUAAUACAUUUGUGAGUGAAAGUUGUAAAUAUUUUCUUAAGAGGACCCUGACUGUCACAUGAUAAUGAUAAUUUAAAGUGUACAACAAUACAAACAUGGCUGAAAUAUUUUAAAUGAACAGUGUGACAAAUGUGGCAUCCCUUUAAAAUCAAUUAUACCGCAUGAACUCUUGAACAUGGCAACCCAAAUGUGAGGGAGUCACGCGUGGACGUUUCUUCUUCCGGGGUCUAGCUAAAGUGUAUCCAUCCAUCCACCCAGCAUUAUAUUUUAGAUCUAGAUGGUUGCAUUUGAUUUAACUCAAUAUGAUUUUAAUUAAUUUAAUUUAAUUCAAUAUGAUUUUGAUUUAAUUAUAGGGUGAAGCAGUACAGAUGCAAAUAAAAAAAGGAAAAUCACCUUCCAUGAAAAUGACAAAAGAAACAUUUAUUCGUUGAUGUAUUUGUUUAUUUAUCCUUUUAUUUUUUAUGUACUUUCUUAUGGUACUGAAGUUCUUGCUAAAUGCUUUUCAAAGAAAAAAACGUGUGAUCCAUCUUGUGGAGAGAGUCUCAAUUCCACACAGUUUGUUUAUUCAGUGGACAGUCACUUCAUUAAAAAAUACAUGUAUAAAUAUAACCCGCACAGUUCAAGCAGCAGAGGGAACAAUAUCUAAAAAUCGUAUUCUUUGAGGGCAUCCAGAGGGCUUUAUUUUUACAAUUUCUCUGCUGGUAGGACAUCCAGAGAGUACCUUUACAAUAAAUCCACUGAAAGGGCAUCCAGGGGGCUCUACCUUCAAACUCAUCACUGGAAGGUAAUCCAGAGGGUAAUAUCUCCACAAAUCAUACACUGGAAGGACAUCAGUGGGCACAAUUUAACAUGUCAUAUACUGAAGGGCCAUCCACAGGGUAUAACCCUGACAAUAAAUCAACUGAAAUGGCAUCCAGAGAGGCACAUGUGUACAACUGAACUACUGGAAGGGCAUCCAAGGGGCAUUAUUUUACAUUUCAUAGACUGUGAGGGCAUCCAGUAGUCACUUUGACGUGUUUCAGCCUCUACAAGAGUGGCAAUUACAGGCAUUUCAUGCAUUUUCCAGAAAAAGGGCACCAGAGAAGGCCUCUAAAAAUGUUAUCGCCAGGAGCAUUCAAAAUGGCACUCCUGCGGCAUUUUCUACAUACAUGGAGAUCAAACCCUGAUCAGUGAGGUCAUAACCCACCUGGCUGUACAUCUAUGACAUUUUCAUUACAUGCACACUGUGCUUGAAGCAUAUGGAUUUUUUCUAACAUAAAGAUUUUUAUAAGACUAAUCUGCUUUUAGACAUGAUCAGCUGAUGACGAUACAAUGGUUUAGUAUCAGAGAAAGUAGACCAAAAGGUGAGCAGGUAAAAUAAACAGAAGGUGCUCUGAUAAAUGGAGCAUUGCUGCCUAUAGAGGGAGACAGAGAGCAUAUUACUAUCGUCUGCAGAGGAUCAAUAAUAGACAGUCUAGAUAUUGUUUACAGUCUCGACAGUCUGUGAGGAAUUAUUCCUGGACUACUAAACACCUGUGAGAUAGAAAUGGAAAAUAGAGGAUAAUACAAAUAAAAUCAGCCCUUGGGUUACAGCAUUUUGAUGCUUACUAUUCUGAAUGUGAGUCUUAACUAUUGAGCUCAGUGGUUUAAAGUGGUCAGGUAACAGUGUUUAGGUAACAAGACUUCUGCUGCAUAAUCAGCAUGCUGAUUUGCCGAACAACAUACCUUUUGAAGGAGGGACACAUGUAAAGCCAAAACUGAAACUAGACACAAAACUUCAGAUCAUACCUGAACAGCUGAGAUCCGUCAGACCGACAGCAAAUAAACAAUAAAAAGAUCCAGAAUGGGCUUGACUUUGUGAGUAAAUUUACCAUCAGCUAUGAUGCUACUUUUCUGCUUGAGUUUGAAGAUGAAUCAAUAUAGCCGUUAUUAAAAUAUACAGAACUUUAGAUAUUGAAAAAAAAAAAACAAUCUCUCAAGGCGCAAGCUGAAUGUAUCAAAUGUUACAUCAUUUAGGUCUUGUAUUUUUACUUUAUUAUAAGGUUUUAUUUUCCCUCAGCCAGUAGAAAUGUGAUUUUGUCACACUGUAGCUGUUGACUGUUUCCCUUUCUCUUCAGGAAAGGUUUGACCAUUGGAUUGACAAAAAUUGCAGUAGAGAGGCUGGCUAUGUCUACCCCUGCUUUGGUUGUUGUUGGUGUAGUGGCAGUGGCAUACCAAUUAAGCGUAGGUGGAAUUAAAUCUUUCUCUGUUUCCUUCCUGCUUUGUAUAAGAAAUGUAUGUACAUGUAAAAUUUGAUUGACAUACCCCAACACUUUUUCAUAUAUCUUUUUAAUAUAUUGUUUUUUUUUUCUUUAGAGAGGAUAGCCACCAAGAGGAAGAUGAAUUAACUCUGUCAGAAAAAUAACUCCAAGACUGCAGAUGGACAAAAAUGUUGAUAAGAGAUGAUUUUAAAAAAAGUUCAAUAAAAAAAGAUGACAGACCACACUUGGUAUCAGUCUGAUUUUCAGUUUAACAGUGUUUUCUGAACUGAUCUCAACUGUUGGCUUCAUGUUGUACUCUGCUGAAACAUCAAUUAAAGUCGAUGUGGAGGACUCUCAUGUGUCUCACUGAUUGUUAGAGGAUGGUUUUAGCUUCAGUGACCUCAGACUGACAUACUUUGGGUUUUUUUCUCACUAAAAUUUAAUCUAUAAUAACUGUAUAUAAUUAUGUCUUUCUCAAACAUAUCUAUGAUGUGAUUUAAACUCAAAGAUCAAUAAGAUAAUCAAAUCCAUCCACAGUGAUUUCACUGGGCUGAGUCAUAGACCAGGUAAGAUGAGUUUUGAAAGCCAUGACUUACCUUUAGUAGGGCACUAUUAAAUGUGAAAUCAUCAUUAAUGAUUAUUCAAUCAGCUCAAACCAUCUCUGCCCCUCUUUAAAAACAAAAUGUAAGACCAUCCUUAAACAGAAGCUGCUCUGAUAAAUGGAGCAGUGCUGCCACUAGAGGGGUUAGAGCACAUUAGUAUCGUCUGCAGAGGAUCAACAAUAGACAGUCUGGAUGUUGUUCACAGUCUCGACAGUCUGUGAGGAGUUAUUCCUGGACUACUAAACACCUGUGAGGUAGAAACGGAAAAUAAAGGAUAAUACAAAUAAAAUCAGCCCUUGGGUUACAGCAUUUUGAUGCUUACUAUUCUGAAUGUGAGUCUUAACUAAUGAGCUCAGUGGUUUAAAGUGGUCAGGUAACAGUGUUUCGAACUUAAGAUCGUUAAUACUGGUGAGAACUCACCACAGAGUUUUGUACAAGUCAGAGACAAAAAGCCUGGAGAUGCCACUUCAUCUGAGUAUUCUUUUAAAAUCAUGGACAAGUAAUAAUGAAAGUAAAAGUGUUUCUGCAUGCCAGUCAGUUUCAGUAACUAAACAGAAACUUUGUAUCCAGGCAAUUUUUUCCCCCCGAAUUACAUCGACCAAUAAAUGCAUCCAAGCAAAUAAAUGUGAACAGAGAAAUAUGUGAAUAGUAAGUUGUGGUAUUGAUUUACAAAAUUCUAUACAUAUGAUAACGUUUACCAAAACAAAAUUAGGCAAUGAAGAAAACAAAACAAUUAGAUACAAACAAAAACAAACAAGAACAAAUGAAGAGGGUAGAGAGGUAGGGGAGAAAGCAAACAAAACAAACUAAAAUAAAAUAAAAUAAAUAAAUAAGUAAAUAGAAUAAUUAAAAACAAAAAAUGAUGAUAAUAACUAUAAAGAGACGAGAGCAGAAAGACAAAGAAAAGGGGUAAAGGUAAAACAGUGUAACUAUGAUCCUGAAUGAAACAGACAGGUGUAUUUGGCAGGAGUUUUGUGAUGAAUUAGUUAUGGUUAUUUUCCUUUGAGAUUCAAAUUUAUUUAUUUUUCCCUUCUCCUCUUCACAAACAAGACUUUGUAUGUUUAUGCUGUUAAUGCUGUGACAUCAACUCACUUGCAGAGAUGGCACUGAGAGUUGCAGAGUAUAUAUGCUUCGAUGCAACUGAUGAUUGUGGGUUGCUGAUUGUUGUUUGAUUAGCAUGUGUUGUGUAAAGAGGUCUAACCAUCACAUUGAUGUUGUUUUUUUCCAGCUUAGCAGUCUUGUUUUCUUGGCAAUGGUUAAGGCUGCUUUAUUUUUAUAACUGCAUUUUUGCACUAUCUUUGUCUGUGAUGCUGCUGUGGCAAAAAAAUUUCCCCUCAUGGGGGAUCAAUACAGGAAUAUUCUAUUCUAUAUUCUUUCAUUCUACAAGCAGGAAUAUUGUGAUUUGUUUGGAGUUAGUGUUUAGUUCUUCUAAGUUUCCGAGUAUGUAGACGAGGGAGAAAGUGGGGUGUUAUGGCCUAGGAAUUGGGAUAAGGUGGUUGUUGGGGCUACAGAGCCAGAAUGCAUGGAGGUGUUUGUCGGUGAUGUUGAGUGUGCAGUGACUGCAAAUGUCUGUGACAGUAAGUCCCAUGAUGUGCAUCUUAUGCUGUGUGAGUUGUGUCCUAUGGAUGAUUUUGUACUGUAUUAACUGAAUUUUUAUAUUGGUGGACAUGGAGAAUAUGUUUGAGCAGACUGUAUUCCAAAAUUGAUUGGUAGUGUGGAUGUUGAGGUCUCUUUCCCAUUGGUUUAUUGGUAUGUGAUGUGAGUUGUUGUUGGAGGUUAUGAGUUUAUAUAAUUCAGUCAGGACCACUUUAGUCAAAAUUAAUUAUUUAUUACAAGCAAACAUUUUUACAUUGGUGGUAUGGCUCUGUUCUGAGAGUUCCCUGCCCUUCUAUGCACUUGCAUGGAAGGGCACGGCUAUAAGAGGGGAGAGCUCCUCCCCUCCCUUUCAUGUGCAUAAAUGAAAAGCCAAGGCAGAGAAAGCAGCAGCAAAUGACUAAAAUUAAGAUAAAUAAAUUAAAAUCCCCUCACAGAACAGCGCAAGCAUCAAUGACAAUACAUAUGACACUGGUAAGAUCAGACACAACACAAACAGGAGGAGUUGGGGUGGAGGUGGGUUGCAGAGUGGUUGCAGCAGGAGAAGCAGUUUAAAUAGGGAGCCAUUUUGACAUUUGCAAAUUGGAUGCAUAGAGGGCGAUCACCUGAGCUGUCAGCUGACUGAGGGCUGGCUUAAGAUCAGGUGACUGUAGCCUUUAGCUUGACUUGUGUCCUGCCUGAGCUACCGCAAUGCUCAAUUUUUGAGAGAAUUUUUGUGUUAUUUUUAAUGGAUUGUAUCUAAUAGUGGUGGGUGUUCUCGGUGGAUGUUUGUGACAUUUGCUUUAGUUUUGAUUGAUUCUUUGAGUUCGAUAUAUUGGAGGAAGUGUUUCUUAUCAAUGUUAUAUGUGUCAGCAAGCUUUUUGAAUGUUAGGAAGGUGUUGUUGAAGACGUGGUGGAGGUGUGUGAUUGCCUUUUCUUUCCAUUUAGUUCCUGUUCAGGGUGAUUUGUUGGCAGUGAAGUCAGGGUUAUUCCACAUUGGUGUUUGGGUUGUGGAUGAGAAUGUAGUGUUUGUUAUUCUGUUGAUCUUCUACCAAGCUGUCAGAGUUUUUGCUGUUGCAGGGUUUUUGAAACAGUUGUGAUGUUGAUUGUGACCUUCCCAUGGUGCACUGUGCAGAGCUCUCUGUGCCUCCUGAAAGGGUUUAGGUGUUUCAACAUGCUGCUAAUGAAGGUUUAUUCUGACUGAGAUAUUUGGAGUCUUAAUAAAUGAGUUAGCAUCAACUGAGAAAGUAUGUGGGAGCUUUUUCUUGUUAGCCUGCAGAGUUUCAUCAUUUGCUGAAAGUCUGAUUGAAAAUGUUGCUCCAUGGUCAUGCUGAGGAGAAAGAAACUAGAUAAAGGGCACAGAUAGACUGGACAGACUGUGGGGAUCUGUGGUGGUCUUUGGGCUGGGCUCUAUGGUGUCAGUAGCCAAUUCUACAUGUCAGCAUAUAUUCUUUUAAAAAUGAGGUUUUCCUUCUCUGUUUCAGUACAUAUAUCCUGUCCACAACAACUCAGAAACCACUGAAAAUGUGCACAUGUGCAUGCAGGACCAGUAGGUGGUGUUACUGUGUCACAUAAUCCCCAUAAGAAUGUGUACAUUGUGUGCAGAAUUAUUAGGCAAGUUGUAUUUUUGAGGAUAAACUUUAUUUUUGAACAACUGCAGUGCUCUUGGUCAAUCCAAAAUGUUAAUAAACCCCAAACCUGAAUAUUUAGGGGAGUAAAAGUGAGAUUUUGGCUUCCUUAGGAGAAUAUCUAUGUGUGCACAAUUAUUGGGGGCAGCUAUCAGUGUGCAGAAUUAUUAUGCAACUAAAUUGAGAAUGAAAAAUUGUCCAUCUCACUUGUUUGUUUUCACUUGUUAAAGUGAGAAUGAUAAACAAACAACUCAAUUUACAAAUAAAAAUUGUUGAAAUUUAAAAAAAAAAAUCUGUGACCAAUGUUACUACCCUUCUUUUCAAUAACAGUCAUAAGCCUUCCAUUCAUGGAGUCUUUCAGUUUCUUGAUCUGUUGACGAUCAACUUUUUGUGUUGCAGUAACCAAAGCCUUCCAGACACUGUUCCAGACACUGUUCAGAGAGGUGUACUGUCUUCCUUCACUGUAAAUUUCCCGUUUAAGAAGGGCUCACAAGUUCUCAACAGGGUUUGGGUCAGGUGAAGAAGGAGGCCAUGUCAUUACUCUUUCGUUUUUAAGGCCUUUACUGGCGAGCCACAUAGUAGAGUACUUUGUUGCAUGCAAUGGAGCAUUGUCCUGCAUAAAAAUCAUGGUUUUCUUAAAGGAUGCAGACUUUUGCCUGUACCACUGCUUGAAGAAAGUGUCUUCUCAAAACUGGCAUUGGAUUUGGGAGUUGAUUUUAAGUCCAUCUUUAACCCAAAAGGUCCAGCUAGCUCAUCUUUAAUAAUACCAGCCCAUACCAGUACCCCGCCCCCACCUUGCUGGUGUCUGAUUCGAAGUGGAGCUCUGUGCCCAUUACUGAUCCAGCCACGGGUCCAUCCAUCUGGUCCGUCAAGAGUCACUCUCAUCCCAUCAGUCCAUAAAACCUUUGAAAAAUCUCUCUUCAGAUAUUUCUUGGCCCAGUCUUGACAUUUCAACUUGUGUCUUGUUCAGUGGUGGUCAGAUUUCAGACUUCCUUACCUUGGCCAUGUCUCUGAGCACUGAUCAUCUUGUACUUCUGGGCACUCCAGGUAGGUUGCAGUUCUGGAAAAUGACAGCACUGGAGGAUAUUGGGUUCCUGGUAGCUUUACGUUUGUGUCCUCUCAAAUCUUUGGCAGUUAAUUUGCGUCUUUUUUUCUUAACACAUUUCUUGUGACCCUGUUGACUAUUUGCAUCAAAAUGUUUGCUGAUUCUGUGAUCACGCCCAAAUAUCUAAGCAAUUUCAAGAGUGCUGCAUCCCUCUGAAAGACUUUUACAUUUUUUGACUUUUCGGAGUCACUUAAAUCUCUUUUUUGGCCCAUUUUACCUGAGGAAAAGAAGCUGCCUAAUAAUUAUGCACACCUUGAUUUAGGGUUUUGAUCUCCUUAGGCCCCAGCCUCCCUCAUCACACUAAUACACAUUACCUGAUAUGCUUAUAUCCAACAAGCAUUCAAGUUUAUACAGCUUGGAGUUGGAAAAUAUGCAUAAAAAUGAUGAUAUGAUCAAAAUACUCACUUGCCUAAUAAUUGUGCACACAGUAUAAUUAGCUCAGUGGAUAAAAGUGGUCAGGUAACAGUGUUAAGGUAACAAGACUUCUGCUGCAUAAUCAGCAUGCUGAUUUGCUGAACAACAUACCUUUUGAAGGAGGGACACAUGUAAAGCCAAAACUGAAACUAGACACAAAACUUCAGAUCAUACCUGAACAGCUAAGAUCCGUCAGACCGACAGCAAAUAAACAAUAAAAAGAUCCAGGAUGGGCUUGACUUUGUGAGUAAAUUUACCAUCAGCUAUGAUGCUACUUUUCUGCUUGGGUUUGAAGAUGAAUCAAUAUAGUCAUUAUUAAGAUGCUGCUAACAGAACUUCAGAUAUUAAAGAAAAAAAGUUAAAUUCUCCCAAGGUGCAAGCUGAAUGUAUCAAAUGUUACAUUAUUUAGGUCUUGUAUUUUAACUUUAUUCUAAGGUUUUAUUUUCCCUCAGCCAGUAGAAAUGUGAUUUUGUCACACUGUAGCUGUUGACUGUUUCCCUCUCCUUUCAGGGAUAAUUUGACCAUUGGAUUGACAUCAAUUGCAGUGAAGGGUCUGGCUAUAUCUACCCCGGCUUUAGCUGUUGCUGGUUUUGUGGCAGUGGCAGUGGUAUACAAAUUAAGUGUGGGUGGAGUUGAAUCUCUCUCUGUUCUCUUCCUGCUAUGUAUGAGAAAUGUAUCCAAAUGUGAAAUUUGAUUUACAUACCCCUACACUUUUUCAGAUCUUUUUAAUAUAUCAUGUCUUUGUUUUUUGUUUCUUUUUUUUUUAGAAAAAGAAGAAGCACCCAAGAGCAAGAGGAAUUAACUCUGUAAGUAAAAAAAAAAAAUGCAAAUGGACAAAAAUGUUGAUAAGAGAUAAUAUAAAAAAAGUUCUAUAAAAACAGAUGACUGUACACACAGGGUGUCAGUCUGAUUUGUACUUUGACAAUGUUUUCUGAACUGAUCUCAACUGUUGGCUUCAUGUUGCACUCUGCUGAAACAUCAAUUAUAGUCGAUGUGGAGGACUCUCCUGUGUCUUAAGGAUUCUUAUAGGAUGGUUUUAGCUUCAGUGACCUCAGACUGACAUACUUUGUUUCUUUCUCAGUGAAAUUUAUUGUAUAAUAACUGUAUACGAUUAUGUUUUGCUCAAACAUAUCUGAGACAUGAUUUAAACUCAAAGGUCAAUAAGAUCAACUUAUCCAUCCACAAUUAUUUCACUGAGCUGAGUCAUAGACUGGGUAAGAUGAGAUUUGAAAGCCAUGACUCAGUUUAAAUGAAGAAUGCUGUUUACUGCCACACCUGAGUGAGGAUAGACCAACAAAAGAUCAUCUCACCUGAACCAAGAGACAAAUCUACGUCACUACAGAAAGAUGAAACACAGAAAACCAUGAGGUUAACUCUUUGAUGGUCAUCUUUCAACUUUGGUAGGGCACUAUUAAAUGUGAAAUCAUCAUUAAUGAUUAUUCAAUCAGCUCAAACCAUCUCUGCCCCUCUUUAAAAACAAAAUAUAAGACGUUCCUAUGUUGCACUGUGCAGAGCUGUUUGUGCCUCCUUUGAGAUUCAAAUUUAUUUAUUUUUUUCCCUUCUCCUCUUUACAAACAAGACUUUAUAUGUUUAUGCUGUUAAUGCUGUGGCAUCAACUCAUGGGCAGAGAUGGCGGUGCGAGUUGUGGAGUACAUAUGCUUAGAUCCAACUGAUGAUUGUGGGUUGCUGAUUGUUGUUCCAUUAGUAUGUGUUGUGUAAAGAGAUCUAACCAUUGCACUGAUAUUGUUUUUUUCUGUUUUUCCAGCUUAGCAGUCUUGUUUUCUUGGCGAUAGUUAAGGCUAUUAGCAGGAAUAUUGUGAUUUGUUUGGAGUUAGUGUUUAGUUCUUCCAAGUUUCCGAGUAUGCAGAGGCAGAAAGAGGGGUGUUAUAGCAUGGGAAUUGGGAUAUGGUGGUUGUUAUUUGUUUCCAGAAGUUGUGAAUGGAUGUACAGAGCCAGAAUGCAUGGAGGUGGUUGCCAGUGGUGUUGAGUGUGCAGUGACUGCAAAUGUCUGUGACAGUAAGUCCUAUGAUGUGCAUCUUAUGCUGUGUGAGUUGUGUCCUAUGGAUGAUUUUGUACUGUAUUAACUGAAUUUAAGUAUUGGUGGACAUGGAGAAUAUGUUUGAGCAGACUGUAUUCCAAAGUUGAUUGUUAGUGUGCAUGUUGAGGUCUCUUCCCCAUUUGUUUAUUAGUAUGUGAUGUGAGUUGUUGGAGGUUAUGGGUUUAUAUAAUUCAGUCAGGACCACUUUAGUCAAAAUUAAUUUUUUAUUACAAGCAAACAUAUUAAAUUGGUGGUAUGGCUCUGUUCUGAGAGUUCCCUGCCCUUCCAUGCACUUGCAUGGAAUACCACGGCUAUAAGAGGGGAGAGCUCCUCAACAGCUCCUAAACUGAUUUUGAGUGUUAUGUUGUUAGUAUAAAACUGGUGAUAUUGUUAUUUUGACGGAUUGCUGCUAUUAGCGGUUCAAUGAAAAGUGCAAAUAGUGAUGGUGAUAAUGGACAUCCUUGUGUAGUGAGAUGAGCUUGUUUGUAAUAACUGUUGCUUUUGGUUGGUUGUAAAGUGUUUUUAUCCACUGAAAAUAUGAUUGUCCAAAACCAAAUUUUCAAGUGAGUGAAAUAGGCCUGUAACUUGAGCAGUGGGUUGGGUCUUUAUUUGUUUUAAGUAAAACUGAAAUGAGUGCUGUGUUCAUGUGAUAUGGAAUUGAUUGAUUGCUCUUAAUUUCAUCUGCCAGCCUAAUAAAAAGUGGUGAGAUUGUUUUCCAGAAUUUUUUGUAGAAUUCAGUGGGAUAUCCAUCAAGUCCUGGGGCUUAAUUGUUUGUCAUGGUCUGUAAUGCUUUUUCAUAUUCAGUGGGAGUUAGUGGAGUGUCCAUGAUGUCUGCCUAUUCUUUCGUUAAUGAUGUUAAUGUGAUAUUGUUUAGAAAAUGUUUUAUUCCCUUUGGGUCUUUGUCUUUAUUGUUGCUCUAUAACUCGUGGUUAUAUUGUCUGAAUGUAUUAUUUAUAUUUUGAGGGUCAUUAGUGAUGUUUCCUGUUAAGUCUGUUAUUGUUGUGAUCAGAGAUUUUUCUUUGUUGGGUUCCAGUAGGUUAGCUAAGUAUUUUCCAGUUUUGUCAUGUGUUCAAAGUGUUAGUAUCAUUGUCUGUGUUGCAUAAACAACACGCCUCUUGAAGGAGGGACACAUGUAAAAACAAAACUGAAACUAAACACAAAGCUUCAGAUCACACCCAAAUAGCUAAGAUCCUUCAGACCGACUGCAAAGAAACAAUAAAGAGAUCCAGGAUGGGUUUGACUUUGUGAGUAAAUUUACCAUCAGCUAUGAUGCUGCUUUUCUGCUUGAGUUUGAAGUGAACUAGAGUCAUGUAGAUUAAGGGGUAGGUUAAAAAAGAUGAAAAAAUACAGUCAUUAUUAAAAUGCUGCUAACAGAACUUCAGAUAUUUAAAAAAUAAAAUAAAAUUCUCUCAAGGCACAAGCUGAAAGUAUCAAAUGUUACAUCAUUUAGGUCUCAUAUUUCAACUUUAUUCUAAGGUUUUAUUUUCCCUCAGCUAGUAGAAAUGUGAUUUUGUCACACUGUAGCUGUUGACUGUUUCCCUCUCCUCUCAGGAAAGGUUUGACCAUUAGUUUCACAUCAAUUGCAGCAAAGAGUCUAGCUAUGUCUACCCCCGCUUCGGUUGUGGUUGGUGUUGGUGUUGGUAUUCUGGCAGCUGCAGUUAAUACAAAUAUAAAGUAGGUGAAGUUAAUUCUCUCUCUGUUUCCUUCCUGCCUUGUAUGUGAAAUGUACGCAAAUGUAAAACCUGAUUGACCCUACACUUUUUCAGAUAUCUUUUUAAUAUAUCAUGUCUUUGUUUUUUGUUUAUGAUUUUAGAAAAAAGAAGAUGCAACCAAGAUCAAGACAGAUCAACUCUCUAAGGAAAAAACUCCAAGACUGCAGAUGAACAAAAAUGUUGAUAAAGGAUGAUUUUAAAAAAAGUUCAAUAAAGAUGACAGACCACACAUGGUAUCAGUCUGACUUGUAGUUUGACAAUGGGCACAAAAUCACCCUCUUUUAAAACAAAAUAUAAGACCUUCCCAUGGUGCAUUGUGCAGAGCUCUCUGUGCCUCCUGAAAGGGUUUAGGUGUUUCAACAUGCUGCUAAUGAAGGUUUAUUCUGACUGAGAUAUUUG
rnacentral:lncRNA from 1 species